rnacentral:lncRNA from 1 species
AACUUUAAUCGUUAUUCUCAAUCACCAUUCUACCAAAUGUCUUUCUCUCUCAUCUCUCUGCUUACACGAUUCUUCAUCUUUUUCUCUAUCUUCUUCCUUUUUUAUUACUUCCUCCUUGACAUCUCUUACUCGUUUACCACGCAGUUCUUCUGUAUCAUCUCGCUUAAAGUUCCAACGACCCUAACUCCGAGGGCUAUCUCCUCCUCGCCCUCGUCGACAACGUCGAUGAAGGCGGUAAUGCAGCGGUGAGGCUGAGAGGAGAUGAAAGUUGUGACGUCAAGGCGAGGAUGACCGGUUACCCUCCGGAGAUCCAAAUCCUCCUCCGCUUUGUUCCUUUGUGAAAUCCAUAGAUCAAAUCUUCAUAUUCUUCUUCUCCCGAAACGUCUUCGUCGUCAAGCCUAACAAGCAGUUUUAUGAUUAAGAUUGAUACCGAUUUUCCUGAUUUUAAACCAAUACCUUUUUCGAUCUCGAGAUGUAACUGAUCUCUUUGCUUGAUUCAUGAAGUGGUAUGAAUAGUUGGUCAAAUGUUUAAACAAGAAUGGACGACGUACAUGAUUUUGAAUAGUUAAAUUUUUGGUUAACAAGAGAUGGACAAAGUAUAAUGGAUGCAUAGUUAUGGAUAAGUAUAACUAAG